GGAAGAGUAUCGGGCCCGGUGGCUCGCGCGGACUUCAAAUCCGUUGGGGGGCGCCAGGCGUCCUCGGUAGGUUCGACUCCUGCCUCUUCCG
rnacentral:tRNA from 1 species